rnacentral:rRNA from 1 species
GAUCAUGGCUCAGGAUGAACGCUGGCGGCGUGCCUAACACAUGCAAGUCGAACGAGCGAGAGAUGAAACCUAGUGAUUCUCGAGCGAGUGGCGGACGGGUGAGUAACGCGUGGGUAACCUGCCUUACAGAGGGGGAUAACAGUCUGAAAAGACUGCUAAUACCGCAUAAGCACACAGUACCGCAUGGUACAGGGUGAAAAGAUUUAUCACUGUAAGAUGGACCCGCGUCUGAUUAGCCAGUUGGCAGGGUAACGGCCUACCAAAGCGACGAUCAGUAGCCGACCUGAGAGGGUGAUCGGCCACAUUGGGACUGAGACACGGCCCAAACUCCUACGGGAGGCAGCAGUGGGGGAUAUUGCACAAUGGAGGAAACUCUGAUGCAGCGAACCGCCGCGUGAGUGAAGAAGUAUUUCGGUAUGUAAAGCUCUAUCAGCAGGGAAGAUAAUGACAGUACCUGACCAAGAAGCCCCGGCUAACUACGUGCCAGCCGCUGC